CCCGGGCCUUGUACACACCGCCCGUCACACCAUGGGAGUCGAUUGCUCCAGAAGUCAUCUCACCGAGAGGUGCCCAAGGAGUGGUCGGUAACUGGGGUG
rnacentral:rRNA from 1 species